GUUUCUGUGGUGUAGUGGUUUUCACGUUCGCUUUACACACGAAAGGUCCUCAGUUCAAAACCGUGUGGAAACA
rnacentral:tRNA from 1 species